UUUUAGGGAGACCUCCACCCCCCAUAGUUUGAAAAGCAAACAGCUAUAUUGAACGUAAGUUGGUCUAACCUAGGUCGGUCGCAGACAUUUGUAUCAUGUAAUUGAAAGCAUCNAAAAU
rnacentral:misc_RNA from 1 species